rnacentral:misc_RNA from 1 species
AACACUGUUAACCUGCGGUACCUGCGGAAGGAUCAUUACGAGAGUGUCACCACUCCCAACCCACUGUUUACCUACCCGUCCACCGUGCUUCGGCAGGCAGUCCUGUGGGACAGGGCCUCGCCCCCGCGAGGGGGUGCCUGCCGCUGGCCAACCAAAAAUUCUAGCUGUUUUUGUACCAUCUGAGUCUUCCACAAAUAAACAAAACUUUUAACAACGGAUCU